rnacentral:rRNA from 1 species
AACGAACGCUGGCGGCAUGCCUUACACAUGCAAGUCGAACGGCAGCACGGGAGCAAUCCUGGUGGCGAGUGGCGAACGGGUGAGUAAUAUAUCGGAACGUGCCCAGUCGUGGGGAUAACGUAGCGAAAGUUACGCUAAUACCGCAUACGAUCUAAGGAUGAAAGCGGGGGAUCGCAAGACCUCGCGCGAUUGGAGCGGCCGAUAUCAGAUUAGGUAGUUGGUGAGGUAAAGGCUCACCAAGCCAACGAUCUGUAGCUGGUCUGAGAGGACGACCAGCCACACUGGGACUGAGACACGGCCCAGACUCCUACGGGAGGCAGCAGUGGGGAAUUUUGGACAAUGGGCGCAAGCCUGAUCCAGCAAUGCCGCGUGCAGGAUGAAGGCCUUCGGGUUGGUU